AUUGAACGCUGGCGGCAGGCCUAACACAUGCAAGUCGAGCGGAUGAAGGGAGCUUGCUCCUGGAUUCAGCGGCGGACGGGUGAGUAAUGCCUAGGAAUCUGCCUGGUAGUGGGGGAUAACGUCCGGAAACGGGCGCUAAUACCGCAUACGUCCUGAGGGAGAAAGUGGGGGAUCUUCGGACCUCACGCUAUCAGAUGAGCCUAGGUCGGAUUAGCUAGUUGGUGGGGUAAAGGCCUACCAAGGCGACGAUCCGUAACUGGUCUGAGAGGAUGAUCAGUCACACUGGAACUGGGACACGGUCCAGACUCCUACGGGAGGCAGCAGUGGGGAAUAUUGGACAAUGGGCGAAAGCCUGAUCCAGCCAUGCCGCGUGUGUGAAGAAGGUCUUCGGAUUGUAAAGCACUUUAAGUUGGGAGGAAGGGCAGUAAGUUAAUACCUUGCUGUUUUGACGUUACAAACAGAAUAAGCACCGGCUAACUUCGUG
rnacentral:rRNA from 1 species